rnacentral:rRNA from 1 species
UACGUAGGGACCAAGCGUUGUUCGGAUUUACUGGGCGUAAAGGGCGCGUAGGCGGCAAUUCAAGUCAUCUGUGAAAUCUCCGGGCUUAACCCGGAACGGUCAGGUGAUACUGUUUUGCUAGAGUGCGGAAGGGGCAAUCGGAAUUCUUGGUGUAGCGGUGAAAUGCGUAGAUAUCAAGAGGAACACCUGAGGUGAAGACGGGUUGCUGGGCUGACACUGACGCUGAGGCGCGAAAGCCAGGGGAGCAAACGGG